rnacentral:rRNA from 1 species
UACGUAGGGUGCAAGCGUUGUCCGGAAUUAUUGGGCGUAAAGAGCUCGUAGGCGGUUUGUCGCGUCUGCUGUGAAAACUCGGGGCUUAACCCCGGGCCUGCAGUGGGUACGGGCAGACUAGAGUGCGGUAGGGGAGACUGGAAUUCCUGGUGUAGCGGUGAAAUGCGCAGAUAUCAGGAAGAACACCUGUGGCGAAGGCGGCUCUCUGGGACGGUACUGACGCUGAGACGCGAAAGCGUGGGGAGCGAACAGG